UAUUAUUUAAACAAGUUUCAUUGUUUAAAGUGUUAUCAGUUGAGCUUCAAAGUUUAAAGUGCAAACUUUUGCGAACUUUAUGGUUUUUUAUGCAAUUUUCCUGUUUUAAAGUUAAAGAACUAACCUUUUACCUUCCGUUGUUAAUGGUGUUGGAUAUUCAUCAAUAGUUUUUUCUCUAAUUUAGGGAUCUGGACUGCAAAAAACAUCUUUGAAACAAGAAAUUAUAUCAAUGGUUUCAAUCACUCAUAAGGAUGAUCAGAUUGUGGAAUCCAAAGAGAUCACGCCAAUAUCUUCACCUAAAAACACAUAUGAAACAAACAGUGAUGAACUGAAUGAUACUGAUGAGGAAGAAGUACAUAAAGAUUUUUGCUUAUAGUCAGUUAACCAGGUCUAUAACUUAAGCUAUUGGUACCAUGUUACAUCGAAUUAUUUUUUUUGGGCAGGUGAACGUAUGUGAUACCUGUGGUGUUCAAGGAUUUACAAAUAAGCUUGCCAUUUGUGAUAAGUGCGGAGUUGGUGCAGAACAUACAUAAUGAUUUACCUAUGUAAUUAUAUAGUAAAAAGGUUAUAUAAUGAAUAAGUCCUCUAUCAAUAUAUAGUUUCAUCUAAUAUCUCUAUAUGGUACUAUCGCAGGUAGUGGAAAUAGAACUAGAAGAGAUGCGUGCAGCUCAUGUUGUGUCCAUCGGAUCUGCGGCACUGCGUUCUCUUACUCCGUACUGUGAGGCUGGGAAAAAAAUCAAAAUUAUCUUAUGAUAUUCGUACCAGUUUUGCGGUCUUCCAGUCAUUCUCUGCUUCAGACUAUAUUUCUGCGCAAUGUAUAAGGCGAAGAUUGAUGGAGUAUCACAUGGAUAUCUUCAAAACGUUGAUGUUAUUGUGACCCCUACGACUGGGUACGUAAAAACAUUCCAUAAAUAGAUAGUUCAUUUCAAAUACGUUAUUUGUAUUUUGUAUAUGAAUGACUGCUUGAACUUCUCUUACCUGGCUGGUGAAAUGUUUGUCUUGUAAAAACAGUAUGACAGCCCCUGUGAUACCCCCUUUUGUCAAGUAACAGGUUUGAUUGUUGAUUUCUCUUCAGCUUCUGAUAAUAGAGAUUGUUGAUUUCUUUUCAGCUUAUUUGAUGCGAUUUGUUGUAGCUGCAAACCUCCUGGGCUUCCCAGCCAUAUCUGUACCCGUUGGGUAUGAUAAGGAAGGGCUUCCAAUAGGAUUACAAAUAAUGGGAAGACCUUGGGUUAGCUGCUGCUGUUGAGGAACUUGCUCCAGUAACCAAGAAACCUGCUGUAUUUCAUGAUAUGCUCAAUACAAACAGAGUCCAUACUGAUUUGGCAGAGAAGUGAAAAGGCUUCGAUCAUCUCUGAGUUGGGGUCAAAUAUCUGUGUUACAUUUUCAUCGAUUGCGUGUAUUUUUCAGGUUAACCUGACAUUACAUUUUCAUUGAGUGUAUUUUCAGGUUAACCUGACAUUAGAAUCAAUAAGUGGGUCUUGUAGUUGCAGAUAAAACCAAUUGACGAGUGUUUUGUUAUAAAACGUGUUGUAUAUUUAUGAUUGACAAAUUUUAAAAGAGAUGUAUACAAUGUGUAUUGGUUGUUGAUAAUA